rnacentral:rRNA from 1 species
UACGUAGGCAGCGAGCGUUGUUCGGAAUUACUGGGCGUAAAGAGUGUGUAGGCGGUGUUCCCAGUCUGUUGUGAAAUCUCCCGGCUUAACUGGGAGGGUGCAGCGGAAACUAGAAUGCUAGAGGGUGGGAGAGGUAAGCGGAAUUCCUGGUGUAGCGGUGAAAUGCGUAGAUAUCAGGAGGAACACCUGUGGUGUAGACAGCUUACUGGACCACUUCUGACGCUGAGGCGCGAAAGCGUGGGGAGCAAACAGG